rnacentral:lncRNA from 1 species
UGAGGCAGAGAAUUGCUUGAACCCGGGAGGCAGAAGUUUCAGUGAGCCGAGAUCAUGCUACUGCACUCUAACCUGGGUGACAGAGUGAGACUCUGUCUCAAAAAAAAAAAAAAGCCCCAAGGUUGGACUCCCAGUGUCUCAGGACCAGUGUGAGAAGUGCAGCAGUUGCCCAGCACUGAGUGUGGCUGUUUCUUCAAGGGGGUUGCCUCCAAGUUCUUCCUAUCCCAAUGCCUAGGCUGGGUGCUGGCUGUGCUACUUGCCUGGGGUUCCCGCCUGGCCCCAUAGGCAGCUGAGCCAGCAACACCACAUACUGCAGAAGUCCUACAGGUUGCGGGCUGGGGGGCGGGUAGGAAGAGUAGGAAGCGCUCUGAGUGUGGUGCUGAAUGUCUCCUCUGAGUCUAGCAGAGGCAUUUGGCUGUAAUUCUUAGAACUCAGUACAGGGACAGAAGUUGAAGGUUUGGGACCCAGGACACUUCUGGUGUCUCCCUCCAGACAGUGGGUUUUGGGUGAGCCAUGCAGACAGGAAUGGGCAGCAUCCCAAGCAAACGUCAGCUCAGCACCAAAGGGCAUGGGCCAGACCCCAGAGCAUGCCUGGAGCCACUCCCUGCCCCCUGAGCGGCCUUGUUUCCCUGUGCGUCUAGGCAGCUGGGUGGGACAUGAGACUCUCCCAGCCUCUGCUGGUGCAGGUAGGAGGCUUAGGGAGGGUGUCCACUAAGUGAGCCAGCAAUGGUACCUUCUGGAGUGACCAACAGGCAGGGGGGUCAUCUGUGCCUGCUUCCCUCUCCACUGGGGAUAGCACCCUGACUUCUUCUGUGGAAUCACCCCUUCUCUCCACUCAGCCUGCUGGAUCGUGAGGGGCUGCCAAUCAACACAGUCUAGCUCCAGGCUGGACAGGGGACCUCAAUCAGCCUGACGAGAACUAGCAGGUGUCAUCUCAGAGGAGUCUUGCUGGACUCAUCAGAAAAGAGAGGGUCUCUUUCCCGCAGAGUUACUAAGUCUUCUGCUAAACACCUCCCUUGGGCUGAACCCCACUCGAAGUGACAAGAAAAAAGAGCCCUUUCCAUGUGACCCAUAACCAGCCUCCUGGAAUACAGAACAGGAUGGAGAAAAGUGGAGGGUGGGUCAGGAAAGGUAGAUGGAAGAUCUCCAAAACAGCUCACCCCUUCUCUCCUCAGCACCCAGUUCAUUCAGACUCAAAGAGGAGGCCACAGACUCAGAGACCUUGGCAGGCAGCAGAACAUGUCAUUAGAAUGGACAUGAUGUUCCUGUCCUCAGGGUGGUACCUGUGAGCCGGGGAGGUGGCUUGGAGAGCCUUGGAGCCGUCUUGGUGACAUGCGGGAAGCUUCCCACCCUGAAAACCGGAAGCCAGUUCUUGCCAAAAUUUUGAAGAUGAACACAGAGACCAGUUCAAACUUGGAACUUGUAGGCCCUGGAACAGAGAAGGCCCCUGGUCUGAGAACCCCUUGCUUUCUUCCGGUGGAGCCGCUGUCUGGGCCAAGCCCUUCCUUCUCUGGUGGGGAGUCCAUGGUCUGGCCCUCGCUCCCUCAUUCUUUUCCUGGAGGAAGAAAAGAAACUUUGUUCAGCAGAGUCCCAGCACCUGGUCCUUCCAACUGCAAGCCUGCCUUCCGUGCCCCUGACCUUAAAUAAGAAGGCGCCAGGAAAGGUCCACCUCCAGGGCCGGGAACAAGAUACCUACCCCAAGAAUGUACCGGCGGGGAGGGAGAUGGAUGGGAGUGGGCUUCCUACAGGGUGAAGCCCGACAGGCUGGCCCGGCCCCUUCCUGCUCAUUCUCAGGAACACACCUGACUGCUGCCCCUCCCGUUUAUCCAGGACUGAGGGAGCCUCAGGGCCCAGGAGGCUGCAGUCCUCAGACUGUGACCUUGCGUAGGUGACUUUGUUUCUGAGCCACAACCUCUUAUCUGUAAAAUGGGUUAAUGCUACCCCAGGUGGUGGUGACAAUUCAGUAAGCCGUGCGUACAAGGCACCUGCCUCGACUGGCCCCCCAAGCAACACCAGAGCCUGACUCCCACUCCAUCUCUGCUUAUUCCUGUAGACACGAGCUCAGUCUGACAACCAGAACCGUCAGAUUUCUUGGGUAAUAAGGGAGUCCCAGCAGCUGUUUCUCAGAGCAGUGAGAGGAUCCAGCCUCCACCCACCCUGGGCCAGGCCUCCGCAUUCCUCCUCGUCUUCAACGGGGCGCUGCUUCCGCAGCCGCCUCUCCACUCCAGCCUUGGUGGGUCACCUCUCCCAGUGCCCCCGUGUUACCAUAAUGGCCAGAGGAGGGUCCCAGAAAGCCCGGGGGAUGCGUCUUCCCCAUCAAGACCUCCCGAGGAGCCCUUUCACCUCUCUGAGCCCCCGUGUCCUCCUCUGUGAGGACAGAGCUGUGGCCACGGUGACCCACAUGCUCCUUUGCCACUGCUGCCUCCUAUCACUUCCCUGCUGAGCCCA